rnacentral:rRNA from 1 species
UAAAGGUUUGGUCCUAGCCUUUUUAUUAGUUGUCAAUAAAAUUAUACAUGCAAGAGUCAUCAAACCUGUGAGAAUGCCCUCCAAAUCGCAUCGCGACCUAGAGGAGCUGGUAUCAAGCACACUACCGUAGCUCAUGACACCCCGCUUAGCCACACCCCCACGGGAUACAGCAGUAAUUAAAAUUAAGCAAUAAACGAAAGUUUGACUAAGUUAUAUAACAACUAAGGGUUGGUAAAUCUCGUGCCAGCCACCGCGGUCAUACGAUUAACCCUAAUUAAUAAACCCCGGCGUAAAGAGUGUUAAAGACAAAACUAAAAUAAGAUUAAAGUUUACCCAAGUCGUAAAAAACUACAGGUAAAAAAUAAAUCCACAUACGAAAGUUAUCUUAGUACACCUGAAUGC